rnacentral:rRNA from 1 species
UAAAAAGCUUCAAACUGGGAUUAGAUACCCCACUAUGCCCAGCCUCAAACUAUGACUCAAUACAAAGCACUUCCGCCCGGGAACUACGAGCUCCAGCUUAAAACCCAAAGGACUUGGCGGUGCCCCACCCACCUAGAGGAGCCUGUUCUAUAAUCGAUAACCCCCGCUUAACCUCACCACUUCUUGCCAAUACCGCCUAUAUACCACCGUCGCCAGCCCACCCCGUGAGGGAAAGUAGGCACAAUGAUUACCACCAAAACGUCAGGUCAAGGUGUAGCGUAUGAAGUGGAAAGAAAUGGGCUACAUUCUCUAACUUAGAGCACACGAAAAAUCAUAUGAAAUUAGAUUAGAAGGAGGAUUUAGUAGUAAAAAGAAACAAUAGUGUUCUUUUUAAAUUGGCCCUGGGGCGCGCACACACCGCCCGUCACCCUCUGCAG